rnacentral:SRP_RNA from 1 species
CGUGCUACACGGGGAGCUAGCGGUGCCUUGAACCCGCAAUCCGCUUUAGCGGGGUGGAAGCCCUCCUUUGAGGCCCUCCGUUUGGUAAUGUGGUUUCGGCGCUUUAGCGAUGAGGGUCGGGUCCUACGUGACGGAGCCCUCCGAACCGGGUCAGAUCUUGACAGAAGCAGCCCUAAGGGGUCCGCUCCGGGUGCCGUGGGAGUGCCUAACCUGAGUUAGACACCGUAAUCGUAUUAUUUGAACGUGGUCGACAGGAGGGGCACGG